UUCACAUUGAAAUUAUGAGAAUGUCAAGUGAAUUAUUUUUAAAAGUGUGUCUAGUUGUGCUUAAAGCAUGAAACCUAAGGGCAACAAAGUGAGGCACGUUCCCCUAAGCAUGGUAACAGCAGCUAAAGCUUGUGAUUUUGAUUAAUGCACUGUGCAUUCAAGAAUGUGCUAUAUCUUUUUUCUUUUAAAUUAUCAGUUAUUACAUUCAAUAUUUACUCUAAUUUGAUGAUUGAUUGCUCUUAAUUAUAAUCAUUCAUUGUGAUACAAUAUCUAAACGACUUUUACAAUACACUUGCUCACACGCACGCAUGCAACCUUUUUGUAAUGAACUUUGCUCUAGUCUUUUGAGUUAAAUAGUCUAAAUACUCAUCUCUAUUUGUGUUCUGAAUGUCUCUUGGAAAUAACACCAUUAGAAAUUUGUGGACUUCAUAAGCUCUUCUAGCUUUUAGCAGUACUACUUAGCUUUCUUCAAAGCAAACAUCAAAGAGACUCUGUUAUAUUAUAGUGGAAGCAGACCCAUACUUUGGACAAACUGAUGAGUUAGUGCUGCUGAAUAUUAUAGUGUGAUUUUAACUUUGUAUAACUUUUUCUGCAUUUAUUUUACAUCUUUUCUGCAAUGCACCUUUGCUAAAGGUGCAUGUAGGGUCUUUUGGGCUAAGGAUUUGUGCCUUGGGAUGGAUUUUACCAAAGCAUAUUAAACUUCCUAGUUACCAAAACGUAUAAAAGCUUCACUUUUG
rnacentral:misc_RNA from 1 species